rnacentral:lncRNA from 1 species
UACGCAAAAAAUAGCAAAAAACAAACAUUCAGAGAUCAAUUAACGGGAUAAAAUGUUUCGACGGUUAUCAACAAAAAAUCACGAUUUAAUGGUUAUUUUAACUCCGAUUUUGAUGAUUUUUUAUACCUACACUCCUUGACCCUAUAUGAAUAUAAUGAAUGAACUCGAUCUUCAAUUUAAAUAUUUACACUAGUGGUAUGUUAUAUACUUAAUGAAAGUCUGAAUAAACUCUUAGGUGUUAGUGAAUCUAUUGUUUUGAUGGGAUACGCAUUCUACGAAACUAGUUUCAACGAUCCAACUGUCAAUCAUGUUUGUAUGUACUUCGAGAUAGCAUACGCCAAAAAUUGAAAAAGCCAAACAUUCAGAGAUCAAGUAAAGGGAUAAAAUUUUUCGACGAUUAUAAACGAAAAAUCACGAUUUUAAUGGUUAUUUUAACUUUGAUUUUGAUGCUUUUUUAUAGCUACACUCCUUGACCCUAUAUGAAUACAAUGAAUGAAUUCGAUCUUAAAUUUAAAAUAUUUAAACUAGUGGAUACCACAAAAUCUUAUGUUAUACUUAAUGAAAGUAUAAAUAAACUCUAGCGGUUAGUGAAUCUAUCGUUUUGAUGGGAUACGCAUUCUACGAAACUAAUUUCAACUAUACAACCGUCAAACUUGUUUGUAUAUACUUCUAGAUUGCAUACACCAAAAAUCGAAAAAAACAAACUUUCAGAGAUCAAGUAACGGAACAAAACUUUUUGAUGUUUAUCAACGAAAAAUCACGAUUUGACGGUUAUUUUAACUCCGAUUUUGAUGAUUUUUUACAGCUACACUCCUUGACCCUAUAUGAAUACAAUGAAUGAAUUUGAUCUUCAAUUUAAAAUAUUUACACUAGUGGAUACCACAAAAUCUUAUGUUACUUAAUGAAAGUAUGAAUAAAUUCUUAAGUGUUAGUGAAUCUAUAGUUUUGAUGGGAUACGCAUUCUACGAAACUAAUUUCAACGAUCCAACCAUCAAACUUGUUUGUAUAUGCUUCAAGAUCGCAUAUGCCAAAAAUGGCAAAAAAUAAACAUUCAGAGAUCAAGUACAGAGACAAAACUUUUUUACGGUUAUCAACGAAAAAUCAUGAUUUAACGGUUAUUUUAACUCGGAUUUUGAUGAUUUUUUAUAGCUACACUCCUUGACCCUAUAUGAAUACAGUGAAUGAAUUCGAUCUUCAAUUUCAAAUAUUUACACUAGUGGUUAUACUUAAUGAAAGUAUAAAUAAACUUUUAAGUGUUAGUGAAUUUAUCGUUUUGAUGGGAUACACAUUCCACGAAACUAAUUUCAACGAUCCAACUAUCAAACUGGUUUGUAUAUUCUUCAAGAUCGCAUACGCCAAAAAUCGCAAAAAACAAACAUUCAAAGAUCAAGUACCUCCGAUGCGAAAGUUAGAAUUUAGAGAGAAAGAGUGUUUAGAGAAUUUUGGGAUUUUUGCCAAAGUGUUGGAAUGGCUUUUUGGUGAGAAUGGGAUCACUUUUAUAGGGAUAGGAAGUGGCCGGCCUAGCUAGGGUUUUUGGGUUUAAUUUAGGUUUAAUUAGUCAAUUUAUUUGGCUAAUUAAACCCUAAAGAAUAAAUUGGUGGUUACAAAAUUGAUUAUUUGUAUAAAUGGGGUAAUAAAAUGGAGAAAAGUGAAAAAGGUUAGGAAAAGGCAGGUGGCCGGCUUCUUAGUAGUUUUAGGUGUGAAUGGGUGUUUUAAUUGAUAAUUAAGGGAUUGAUUAGGUAAUUAAUCC